rnacentral:rRNA from 1 species
GACGAACGCUGGCGGCGUGCCUAAUACAUGCAAGUCGAACGCUUCUUUCCUGCUUGCUGCUUGCACUCAAUUGGAAAGGGGGGGGGCGGACGGGGGAGUCACCCGUUGGUAACGUACUCAUCAGAGGGGGAUAACACUUGGAAACAGGUGGUAAUACCGCUUAACACUUUUUGCCGCAUGGCUUUCGAUUGCAGAUCGCCCCGGGGCGUCGCUGCUGGAUGGACGCGUGGUGCAUUAGCUAGUUGGGGAGGUAACGGCUCACUAAGUCGACGAAUCGUAGCCGACGGGGUAGGGGGAUCGGCCACACGGGAACGUGGACAGGGCCAAGACUCCUACGGGAGGCACCAGUAGGGAAUGUGCGGCAAUGGACGAAAGUCUUACCGAGCAAGGCCGCGUGUGUGAAAAAGGUGUUGGGUUCGUAAAACUCGGUUUUGGGUUAAAAACAAGGUCGGAAGGAAAUGAACGUCCCCUGACGGUAUCUAAACAGAAAGCCACGGCUAACUACGUG